rnacentral:lncRNA from 1 species
UUCUAACACCCUAACAAAUCCAACAAUAAUCUAAAACACCAAUGAGCGCCUAGAUCAUCCUCCUCUCCACGCCAUGAUUCCACGGAUCACACUUUCCUUUUACCUGCAUCAAAUAAAGAGAUGCAUAAGUAUUUCAUAAAUACUUAGUGAGGGCGAUCUUCCCAUCUACGAGCUAUACACACAAGCAAUGAGAUAACACCCACAUAAAUAACAAAAACAAACCAUCCAGGAAGCUAAACAUCCAAUAACACAUCCAAUUCACCUACAAAUCAUCACAAAACAAGUCACUCGAUCCCAAUCACUUAGAUAAGCUCAUUGUCACGCACUCACCUUAACAAGGUGAUUUAAAUAACAAAAACAACCAGGAAAGACUCUCCUUGCGGCUGCAACAGCCAAACAACGCCUGUUAACUUCUUAAUUUACUACGGUGGAAAGCAAGACCCAGACGUCACGAAGCUCCCCACAAAAUUUGGUGCCGAUCAGAGAAACGAUGAAACCACGAUCACACUUACAAACUCCGCUGAUCCCAAUUCGCAACAGAGAAAACACAUCUCACCAAAUUGCAUAUAACUCACUAAAUAUUAAUCCGAAUUCACUUCUGUAAAAAGGAGAAUCAACGUACACGCCUUAAGAACAAACCUACCAAAAUUCAUUACCUUUCGAUAAGAUUUGAUACGUCGGAACUCUAUUCUACCAAGACGUGACGAAUCUGCUUCUCUUGCCUUAAACACCAAAGCAAAGCUAACACUCUCCUUCUCACAAGUGAACUUGUCCUUCUCCUUUUCUCAACUCAACUCUCA